CACGUAGGGCGCAAGCGUUGUCCGGAAUUAUUGGGCGUAAAGAGCUCGUAGGCGGUCUGUUGCGUCCGCUGUGAAAACUCGGGGCUUAACCCCGAGCCUGCAGUGGAUACGGGCAGACUAGAGGUAGGUAGGGGAGAUCGGAAUUCCUGGUGUAGCGGUGAAAUGCGCAGAUAUCAGGAGGAACACCGGUGGCGAAGGCGGAUCUCUGGGCCAUUACUGACGCUGAGGAGCGAAAGCGUGGGGAGCGAACAGG
rnacentral:rRNA from 1 species